UAUUGAUUGACUUACUUUUUUUUUGGCUUGGGUUUAUUUUCAUUAAAAUAUUUUAUUUGGUUGUUGUAUGAUUUUCAGAUUUGAUUUUUUUGGUUAUAGUUUAUUUGGUACUGUAGGGGGUUGUUUUUAUGUUUUUGUAAGUUGAUUUUUUUUGUCGUACCUUGUGUAUCAGGGCCUAUUAAAUUUUAUUAUUUAUUUUGUAUUUCCCGAUUUUAAAUGAGUUAACAAUUUAUUUUGGUUGCUGUUGCAUAAGCAUUAAGGAUAUUUUGUUGGUAAUGAGAUGUUUUCGUCUUUAAUGGUAUCUGGUUUCCUAAGAAAUGAAUUUAAUUCAUGUGUUUGGUUUAAAUGUUUUAUUUUUAAUCCUUUUUUACUUGAUACAAAUGCCUUGGGGGAUAAGCUCCGUGGUUUAAUCUUUAUAACUUGUUUUGUUUUACUUUAUUUUUGUGGGUUUUAUAGUAAUCAUCAGUUUAAGUGUGUUCAAAUUUUAUUAGAUUUUUUGUUCUUUUUUAUUUUUGUUUAAGUUUUUUAUUGGGAUUUUUCUUAUAAUUUUUUAUUUUUAGUAAUUAUGAUUGGAUUAGUAUAUUUCUGGUUUUGUAUUGUUUUUGUCUUGGUAUUUCUCUUUGAGGAACUAGGCAAAAUUUUGUGUCCGCCUGUUUAACAAAAACUACUCCUCUUGUUUUUUAUUUGAGGUAGGGCCUGCCCACUGAUUUUUGAAGGGCCGCGGUACUUUGACCGUGCAAAGGUAGCAUAAUCAUUAGUCUUUUAAUUGUGGGCUUGUAUGAAUGGUUUGACGAGAUGCAAUCUGUCUUUUUUGGAUUUAUUAUUGAAUUUGGUUUUUAGGUAAGAAUACCUAAAUUUUUUUGUGGGACGAGAAGACCCUAUAGAGUUUUACAUGUGUUUUUCUUUAUUUUGUUUGUUUUUAUUGUUUUAGUUUUUCACUUGUUUUGUUGGGGCGAUGGGAGGAUUUAUUGAACUCCUUCUUUUUUUGAUUUACUGAUUUGUGUUUUUCUGAUCCUUUAUUAUUGAUUUUAAGAUUAAAUUACCUUAGGGAUAACAGCGUUAUCUUUCUUGAAAGUUCUUAUUGACGGAAGGGUUUGCGACCUCGAUGUUGGAUUAAGGUGAAUUUUUGGUGUAGGAGCUAAAUUGUUUAUUAGGUCUGUUCGACCUUUAAAAUCUUACAUGAUCUGAGUUCAAACCGGUGUGAGCCAGGUUGGUUUCUAUCUACAAUUGUAUUUAGUGGUUUAGUACGAAAGGACCAUCUACUAGGAAUAAUUCUUUUUUGGUGACUUUUAUUAAUUU
rnacentral:rRNA from 1 species